rnacentral:rRNA from 1 species
AUGGGGUAUGUGUUUCUUUUUAUUCGGUUGUUCACCGGAUUCGGCGCAAUUUCGGUAGCUCAUUGUUUGCUGAAAUUUGUGUGUAUGAUGGAUGCAAGUUUGAUAGCACGAAAAUUGAUAGAUGUGCGUGUACUCAUUGCUAUAAUAGAGGCUAGAGAUGAGAUUAGAUACGAAGCAACGUCUACUUCUUUAGAAUCGAAGAAGAAAAAAAUGUGCAAGCUCGAGAAGCCGCGGAUCAACAAUGAAGACAUAGAGAAGAUAUUAGUCCAACUAGUGGGAGCAGUUACGGAAAUUACAUAG